AGUGAGAUAUAUUGUGAUCUCUAUCUCAAUAUCAUUGAAAACUCCUUUCAAUGGGUUGGAACGAUUCCAACUCAACUCAUUAGGGUUUAUCGAUCAUCGAAAUAAUCCCUGUGAGUCCCACCAUCCACCAGUGACACCUAGCAGCAUGUAGUGGCUACCCAGCAGAAUGGAAUGAUGAACCUCUAGGUGCAGUUAACGUGUGAUACAGUCCUACUAUCGUGGAUCCCUACAGGACGGAGGUCAUGGACAACUCGUCAAACCCCAUCGUCUGUCAUAUGUUAAGAUUUAUUCGACUCGAGUUCGAUAGUGAAAAACUCUUUCUCCACUUUAUAUUACUGCCCUGUCCAAGGUCUUAGAACUCAGUCUAACAAAUCACAUAGGAUCACUCCUCUUCUAUCAAGGUCGAUAGAUUCCUUAUAGGUGCAUACCCUACUCCUACAGUGAACUUACUGCAGCCAAUCUACACUGCAUGGACCCAUAUGGCUAGAGACCAUGUAUGUGUGCAGUCAAACUACAAUAACCUCACUGUGAG
rnacentral:lncRNA from 1 species